UUAAUUUUUAAUUUACUUAUUUUUUUAUAUAUAUAUGUUUGAGAAAUUUCUUUUUUCUUAGUAAAUAGAUGAGAAUGGAUUGUUUUAGUAAUAGCUUAUUAGUACUGUGAAGGGGUGUUGAAAUAUAGUUGAAAUUAAUUAUUUAUAAAGUAUAUUUUGUUAAUAGUACCUUUUGUAUCAGGGUUGAUUAAUUUUAUUUAAUUUAUUUUAUUUUCUCGAUAUUGUAAGAGCUAAUAAUUUAAUUUGUUUAUUGUAGUAAAAAUAUCAAUAAUAAUUAUUUGUAAAGAAAUUUUAUUCGUUUAUAAAUAUAUCUAGUUUUUUAAGAAAUAAAUUGAAUUUAAUUCUGUUUUAUUAUUUUGUUUUCUUAUUUAGACUUAUAAAGUGCAGAUUAAAAAUGAUAGGGGAUAAGCUCUAUCUUUUUCUAAAAUAUAAUUUUAUUUAAUUUUUGUAGGUUUAGAAUCAUCCAUCAUUUGAAUUACGUUAUAGUUUAUAUUAUUUUGUUUUUGAUUUAUUUUUAUUUAGUGUAAAUAUUAAAAUAUUUAAGUUAACUUAAACCUUAAAGUAAUUAUGAUUAAAUUAGUAUAUUAUUGUUGUUAGUUGAGUAAUAAAAGUUAAUUCAUAAUAAGGAAUUCGGCAAAUAUAAUGUUCGCCUGUUUAACAAAAACAUGUCUUCUCGUUUAUUUGGGAAGUCUGACCUGCCCAGUGAAAUAAUUAUUUAACGGCCGCGGUAUCUUGACCGUGCAAAGGUAGCAUAAUCAUUAGUCUUUUAAUAGAAGACUGGAAUGAAGGGUUUGACGAAAUAUUAACUGUCUCAUUUUGAUAUUUUAAAAUUUAAUUUUUAGGUUAAAAAGCUUAAAUGUUAUUGGAAGACGAGAAGACCCUAUAGAGCUUUAUAAUUAAAUUUAUAGUUAAAACUUGUUUAAUAAAGUAAAACUAUUAUUUUAAUUUUUUUGUUGGGGUGAUAGUAAAUAUAGAUUUAACUUUUAUAUAAUAAAAUUGUUCAUUUAUUUAUGAUUAUUAGAUCCAUUAUUAUUGA
rnacentral:rRNA from 1 species